UUAAAGGACUUUCUUGGUCUAGGUGCAUCUGAGCUUGAAACAACCUUCGCUAUUAGAAGCACUGAGGGAUUGUCUCAAGUUGAAUCUGCAAAUAUGUUGGAUUAUGAGAAUCCUCUUGUAGGCUUAACUCAUUUGGUUGAAACAACGGGGCUCUUAACACCACCCGGAUUUGAUGCUGUACCCAGUACUUCUGCGGGGUGUGAACCACGCGGCACGGUAGAGAAAAUCACAUCUAGAUCGCCAGCGUUUAGGCCCAGUUUGACAAGUAGCCCUGAAGCAUCAUGGAAAUGGAAACCAAGGAAAUGUGCAAAAUGACAAAUGAAAAGACGGCUUCACACGGAAAGUGUCUUAGGUUAGAUCAUGACCACAAAUCUGUAGAUUUGCACGCCAGUGACCGACCGGUGUAGGGUGAAGGUGUACAGAGGGUUGUUGAUCCUGAUGUGGACGUUGCUGGAUGGUCUGAUGAGUUCUUGGACACCUGGAACGAGAACAGCUUUUCAGAAAAGGUGGAUGAAACCGUGGUUACCGGACCAAAUAACACUGGACUAAGCACAAUAUUGGAAGUACUGAGAGACAUUGAUGGGGAGGGCUUAAGGUCAAAUCAGGAACAUGAACAUGGGGUAAGCAGUUCUUACCUUUCUAAUGAAAUCUUAGAGCUUAGAAAUUUGGUGGUACAACAGUCUCAGAAGAGCACAAAAUACAUUAUAGGACAACGUAGACAAGCUGCUAUUAAUAGUAGAUUAAAUAAUAUUGUUCAUAAACAGUCUGAACAGAUUGAGAAAAUAUUAGAGGAAUAUCGAACACAGGCUGAACAGAUUAAGAAAUUAGUAGAGCUAAACUUUCAUAGCCGGAACAAAUAUCACAAC